UUUCAGUAGAAUAGGUGAAAGGCAGAUAAAAGCUCACCAGUGUUGCAGGGCGCUUUUACCUUCGUACAAGCUUCAUUAUGGCUGUUUUACCUUCAUACAAGCACAGCUACAGAAAAGAUGCUCUUGAAGCUCCAUGAGCUAUGUUUCAGUCAAGACAGAGCAGAAGUGAAACUCAGGCCUAAAUAAGAUCCAAACUUAAAUGUAAAAAAAUAGAGGAAUUUUAUCCAUGAAGAAAAACAGAAAACAUACAGCCUAAGGCAGCAGCAAGAAGCAAGGGAGCUGGAAAGCAGUUUCUACUGGAUUUCAAACUGCUGGAGCAGG